GAUGAACGCUAGCUACAGGCUUAACACAUGCAAGUCGAGGGGCAGCAUUUCAGUUUGCUUGCAAACUGGAGAUGGCGACCGGCGCACGGGUGAGUAACACGUAUCCAACCUGCCGAUAACUCGGGGAUAGCCUUUCGAAAGAAAGAUUAAUACCCGAUGGUAUAAUCAGACCGCAUGGUCUUGUUAUUAAAGAAUUUCGGUUAUCGAUGGGGAUGCGUUCCAUUAGGCAGUUGGUGAGGUAACGGCUCACCAAACCUUCGAUGGAUAGGGGUUCUGAGAGGAAGGUCCCCCACAUUGGAACUGAGACACGGUCCAAACUCCUACGGGAGGCAGCAGUGAGGAAUAUUGGUCAAUGGGCGCAGGCCUGAACCAGCCAAGUAGCGUGAAGGAUGACUGCCCUAUGGGUUGUAAACUUCUUUUAUAUGGGAAUAAAGUUUUCCACGUGUGGAAUUUUGUAUGUACCAUAUGAAUAAGGAUCGGCUAACUCCGUGCCAGCAGCCGCGGUAAUACGGAGGAUCCGAGCGUUAUCCGGAUUUAUUGGGUUUAAAGGGAGCGUAGGUGGACAGUUAAGUCAGUUGUGAAAGUUUGCGGCUCAACCGUAAAAUUGCAGUUGAUACUGGCUGUCUUGAGUACAGUAGAGGUGGGCGGAAUUCGUGGUGUAGCGGUGAAAUGCUUAGAUAUCACGAAGAACUCCGAUUGCGAAGGCAGCUCACUGGACUGCAACUGACACUGAUGCUCGAAAGUGUGGGUAUCAAACAGGAUUAGAUACCCUGGUAGUCCACACAGUAAACGAUGAAUACUCGCUGUUUGCGAUAUACAGUAAGCGGCCAAGCGAAAGCAUUAAGUAUUCCACCUGGGGAGUACGCCGGCAACGGUGAGACUCAAAGGAAUUGACGGGGGCCCGCACAAGCGGAGGAACAUGUGGUUUAAUUCGAUGAUACGCGAGGAACCUUACCCGGGCUUAAAUUGCAUUUGAAUAUAUUGGAAACAGUAUAGCCGUAAGGCAAAUGUGAAGGUGCUGCAUGGUUGUCGUCAGCUCGUGCCGUGAGGUGUCGGCUUAAGUGCCAUAACGAGCGCAACCCUUAUCUUUAGUUACUAACAGGUCAUGCUGAGGACUCUAGAGAGACUGCCGUCGUAAGAUGUGAGGAAGGUGGGGAUGACGUCAAAUCAGCACGGCCCUUACGUCCGGGGCUACACACGUGUUACAAUGGGGGGUACAGAAGGCAGCUACCUGGUGACAGGAUGCUAAUCCCAAAAGCCUCUCUCAGUUCGGAUCGAAGUCUGCAACCCGACUUCGUGAAGCUGGAUUCGCUAGUAAUCGCGCAUCAGCCAUGGCGCGGUGAAUACGUUCCCGGGCCU
rnacentral:rRNA from 1 species